UUGUGCCCUCUGUUUUUAGCAAGGAUGAGCUGUUAAAAGACGAUGACCCUCCAUCAUGCUUCAUCUUCAAGUUAUCAGGAG